GGGGUUGUGGCUCAGUGGUAGAGCCCUUACCUAGCAUGUGUGAGGCCCUGGGUUCAAUCCUCAGCACCA
rfam:Ictidomys tridecemlineatus contig079706, whole genome shotgun sequence.